rnacentral:rRNA from 1 species
UGCCAGCCGCCGCGGUAAUACGGAGGGUGCAAGCGUUGUUCGGAAUUAUUGGGCGUAAAGCGCGUGUAGGCGGUUCGUUAAGUCUGAUGUGAAAGUCGGUUGCUCAACAAUCGAAUUGCCUUUGAAACUGUGUGGCUCGAAUAUAGAUGAGGUAGGCGGAAUGUGUAGUGUAGCGGUGAAAUGCAUAGAUAUUACACAGAACACCAAUUGCGAAGGCAGCUUACCAAACUAUUAUUGACGCUGAAGCACGAAAGCGUGGGUAGCGAACAGGAUUAGAUA